GCAGUUGGUAUCUCAGUGGAAGAGUGCAUGCUGUUGUGUAUGACGUUCUGGGUUCAAUCCCCAGCUGCUCCC